AGUAGCGGUGAAAUGCGUAGAUAUCUGGAGGAAUACCAAAGGCGAAGGCAGUCCCCUGGUCCGAUACUGACACUGAGGUACGAAAGCGUGGGGAGCAAACAGGAUUAGAUACCCUGGUAGUCCACGCCCUAAACGAUGUCGAUUAGCCAUUGGAAGGACCCCUUUUCCUUUCAGUGACGUAGCUAACGCGUUAAAUCGACCGCCUGGGAAGUACGACCGCAAGGUUAAAACUCAAAGGAAUUGACGGGGACCUGAACAAGCGGUGAAUGAUGUGGAUUAAUUCGAUGCUACGCGAAGAACCUUACCUACCUUUGACAUGGCCAAAGUUCUACCGAGAGGCGGGAGUACUCGUAAGAGGAUUGGCGCACAGGUGCUGCAUGGUUGUCGUCAGUUCGUGUCGUGAGAUGUUGGGUUCAGUCCCGCAACGAACGCAACCCUUAUCUUUAAUUGCUCCUAUUUUAACAGGCACUUUAAAGAAACUGCCAAUGAUAAGUUGGAGGAAGGUGGGGAUCACGUCAAGUCCGCAUGGCCUUUAUAGGUAGGGCUUCACACGUCAUACAAUGGUUAGAACAAAGAGCUGCAAAUUCGUAAGAAGGAGCCAAUCUCACAAACCUAACCUCAGUUCGAAUUGCGGUCUGCAACUCGAGCGCAUGAAGCCGGAAUCGCUAGUAAUCGUGGAUCAGUAUGCCA
rnacentral:rRNA from 1 species